AUGAACGCUAGCUACAGGCUUAACACAUGCAAGUCGAGGGGCAGCAUUUUAGUUUGCUUGCAAACUGAAGAUGGCGACCGGCGCACGGGUGAGUAACACGUAUCCAACCUGCCGAUAACUCCGGAAUAGCCUUUCGAAAGAAAGAUUAAUACCGGAUAGCAUACGAAUAUCGCAUGAUAUUUUUAUUAAAGAAUUUCGGUUAUCGAUGGGGAUGCGUUCCAUUAGUUUGUUGGCGGGGUAACGGCCCACCAAGACUACGAUGGAUAGGGGUUCUGAGAGGAAGGUCCCCCACAUUGGAACUGAGACACGGUCCAAACUCCUACGGGAGGCAGCAGUGAGGAAUAUUGGUCAAUGGGCGAGAGCCUGAACCAGCCAAGUAGCGUGAAGGAUGAAGGCUCUAUGGGUCGUAAACUUCUUUUAUAUGGGAAUAAAGUAUUCCACGUGUGGAAUUUUGUAUGUACCAUAUGAAUAAGGAUCGGCUAACUCCGUGCCAGCAGCCGCGGUAAUACGGAGGAUCCGAGCGUUAUCCGGAUUUAUUGGGUUUAAAGGGAGCGUAGGUGGAUUGUUAAGUCAGUUGUGAAAGUUUGCGGCUCAACCGUAAAAUUGCAGUUGAAACUGGCAGUCUUGAGUACAGUAGAGGUGGGCGGAAUUCGUGGUGUAGCGGUGAAAUGCUUAGAUAUCACGAAGAACUCCGAUUGCGAAGGCAGCUCACUAGACUGUUACUGACACUGAUGCUCGAAAGUGUGGGUAUCAAACAGGAUUAGAUACCCUGGUAGUCCACACAGUAAACGAUGAAUACUCGCUGUUUGCGAUAUACAGUAAGCGGCCAAGCGAAAGCAUUAAGUAUUCCACCUGGGGAGUACGUUCGCAAGAAUGAAACUCAAAGGAAUUGACGGGGACCCGCACAAGCGGUGGAGCAUGUGGUUUAAUUCGAAGCAACGCGAAGAACCUUACCUGAUCUUGACAUCCCGAUGACCGCUUCGUAAUGGAAGCUUUUCUUCGGAACAUCGGUGACAGGUGGUGCAUGGUUGUCGUCAGCUCGUGCCGUGAGGUGUCGGCUUAAGUGCCAUAACGAGCGCAACCCUUAUCUUUAGUUACUAACAGGUCAUGCUGAGGACUCUAGAGAGACUGCCGUCGUAAGAUGUGAGGAAGGUGGGGAUGACGUCAAAUCAGCACGGCCCUUACGUCCGGGGCUACACACGUGUUACAAUGGGGGGUACAGAAGGCCGCUACCUGGUGACAGGAUGCUAAUCCCAAAAACCUCUCUCAGUUCGGAUCGAAGUCUGCAACCCGACUUCGUGAAGCUGGAUUCGCUAGUAAUCGCGCAUCAGCCAUGGCGCGGUGAAUACGUUCCCGGGCCUUGUACACACCGCCCGUCAAGCCAUGAAAGCCGGGGGUACCUGAAGUACGUAACCGCAAGGAGCGUCCUAGGGUAAAACUGGUAAUUGGGGCU
rnacentral:rRNA from 1 species